GGAUAGCUCAGCUGGUUGGAGCGUGGUGCUGAUAACGCCAAGGCUGCAGGUUCGAUCCCUGCCUGGAACA